AUUUUCUUUAAAAAAAAGGCAGAGAGUCUUCCUACUCUCUCUCCCUUCUCAUUUUCCUCCGGUCACCGAGGUAGCGAUUCACCUCCGUACCGGCCGCCAUAAGCGGUGGUCGAAGGUGCGACAAUGGGCUCUUUAGCCCCUAUUUAAACGCGCACGAAGGCCCCCUCUUUUUAGCCCCGAAAGGAUCGAGAAGAGAAGACCCCUCUUCUCCUUUUGGGCUCGAAUCCGGCGACAGAGGAGGAGGUCCUGAUGGCGCAACCAGAGUAGAUCGGUGACGUGACGCAUGGAAGGUCGAUGGUUGGUGCCCCGAGCGGCGGUGGCUGAAAGCAUGCGGCGGCUGCAUAUUGGGGAAGUGUUUGCUGCUGAAAAUCUUAAGCAAGUGGGCUAUUAUUUGGGCUAGGGUUUGAUGUAAAUUGGGUUUGGGUAGGUUUUGUCUUAAUUUUGGGCCAUGUAUUGGACUGUUUUUUUGUUUAUUUGGUUUGGGUUCUUUUAGGCCAAAAUUGGCUACUACAAUAUUAUUAUUAUUAUUAUCUGAAUCAUUUAAAUUUUAUUUAA